CUUGCAGUACUUAGAGUUAAGUCACCUUGUGUUAUAGAUCUCAAACUAUAUUGCCCAACCUCUUCAAACCUUGUUUAGCAUGCCAAGUGUUAAAGCAUUCUUGGAAUGCUGGAUUGCUUUGCUGAAAUGAAGCCCUGCUUUGUUCUGCUACUGACUGGGCCAAUGAAAAUAUGUGGGUUGCCAGGAAUCUUUGAUAGCACACAAUCAAUGUUAGACAAUUCCCGAAUUGUACAUCUGCUCCACCUAGUUUUAGGAAAUUUAGUCUUUUAAUUCUCUGUUGCUUCAGCAAAGUAUGUUUUGUUGCAGGAAUUGAACUGCUGCUCAACAAUGCUGUUUGAAUCAUGAACUGGACUCCAGUGACUGGUUCUUUCACUUUUUUAAAAAAGUAGUUUCAUGUCUCCUGAGUUUCAAGGAGCAGUUUUUAAAGUUUUGAUUUUAGGCCUAGGUUUUGACUGGCAGGGAAGAAAAACGAUGCCACAAGUCAUUAUCACAAAAGAUAUUGCAAAUGCUGGAAGUCAGAAGUAACACACACAAAAUGCUGAAGGAACUCAGCAGAUCAGGCAGCAUCUUUGGAGAGGAAUAAACAGUCGACAUUUUGGGCCAAGACUCUUCAUCGGGACUGGAAAAGAAAGGGAAAAGUGCAGAAUGACAAGGCCACAUUGAACCUCCUGGUUAUUCCUGCUGGCUGGCACGACAUAUUGCAUGAGGAGAAAGCAGCGGCUACUCAAGUAGGUUGACAGUAUGUGCUGCUGUAAACAUCCUUGACUGGAAGCUUUACUGGAGGAAACUGAGCUUUCAGUCAGAUGUUUAUGGCUGCAAGCUGCCAUGCACUCCAAAAGGAAACUGAACUCCUCUCCCAUGGAUGUGCCUGGAGAUAAUGCACGUUCAAAGUGGUUACAUGAAAACUGAUAAGAUGAUGUAAUGAAAUGGAAUAUGAGUUUCUUUGCAGCAACAACUCUGUUUAAUAUUGAUGCAGUGUCCAAGACACUUGACAGCUCUAAUCUGAAACAAGGUUUGAUAUUAAGCUGAUUUAGAUUUGGUGGCCAGGCGAGCAUCUUGGAGGAGAAAGAGACACAGAUUUCUACAGAUGUAUGGUGGUGCUGUAUAGUUGCAACAUCUGCUGGUAUGGAGACUCCAAUGAAUAGUAUUGAAAGGAGCCUCUUCUCAUUACUACAAUUGGGGCAGAUCUACAGGAGCCUAAAGUCAUACACUUAACAUUCUAGGAAAAGCUUCUUCCCCCGCUGUCAGAUUUCUGAAUUGUCCAUGAACAAGACUGCAUUAUUCCUCUCAUGCACUUUUUAAUUUUUGUAACUUACAGUAAUUUUUAUGUCUUGCUGUGUACUGCUGCUGCAAAACAAGAAGUUUCACAACAUGUCAUGGAUUAUGAACCUGAUUCUGAUUAUGGAGCUGGGGUCAAGGCAGCUGAAAGCAUCUCCGCCCAUUUGUGGAAUGCUAAACACUAGGAAUGCCAGGAUUUUAGUAGCGUUGGUAGAGGGAAAACCAUGAAAGAUUAAAAAGCUGGAUAUGAAAUAAAAUAUGUAGUCAUCUGCAUAAGUAUCUAGCUUCAGAAAGUGAAAUUAAGAUGUUUGAAUUUUUAUUUGGGUGAUUUGCUAAAACAUUUUUUAAUAUCUGAAUUGAAUUCUUUGUAACUGAAUAACAUCAUUUUAGCUAAUGACUUUAAGGCCUUUUAGAAAACUGUAAAAAUCUUGUUACCCCAAUUAGCAAAUUUCAAAUCACUUGGUAAGAAUGUUCAAUAAUCUGAUUGAGAUGCUGAAAACCUGAAUUAAAGUCAGUCAAUUCUAGAAUUUAUGCCUCCUUUUUAAAAAAUUACCUCCAUGAUAAGGGAAAUAUAUUCUUCUUAUUUACUUACUUGAUUCAUCUCUUAACAAUUUCAUGCACCCCAUUCAAGUUUCCUUUCAAUUUCUUCUGUUCAAAAGAAAAUAAUCUCAACCUAUUGAAUAUUGUCCUGUGUUUAGGCUAGCAUUAAAUUGGGGAUUUAAUGUAAGUUGUCCCGUAUUUAGGUGUAAAGGGGGUUUCUUUUUUUUUCUUUGUUACAGUGUAUGUAAUCAAAAUGGCUUCUUUGUUUUGUUAAAAGUAGGAAUGCUUCUUUGUUUCGAGAGAGUGCUGGAAGCUUGUUUGGGUUAAAAUUUACUGAUAAUGAGAAUUGUAUUCCUUUGUAAACCAAUUGGGAUUAAUGUUGUUCUUUCUUCUGAGUCUGUAAGCUAUUGUUGGCGGGCUUUUGGGCAGAUCGGCGCGAGGGGGUGAGAGAGAGAGGACGCUAUGCUGUAAACUGGGUGAGGAAUGGACCCCAAGCAGAGGUCCGAGGCCAGGAGGUACUCCGAGGAGAGGAGAUGAAGCUAGAUGUGCUUGGCUGACCACUCAGAGGGUCCUGAGCUGCGAGUCGAGGAAUUCGGAGGGGAUCGAAUGGUGGCCAGAAGACUUCAGUAAUUGAGCUCCAAUGGUUGUGCACAAAGUGGUUUGGACUUUGAUAAGUUUGGCGCCUUUAUUUUUUUUCUUCAUAUAUACUGUGUCGUUAUUAAUCACUUAGUUAUAGUAACCUUUAUAAAUUGUUCUCAUUUAAUCGCA